GUGUCCUAAAAAUACAUAAAUUCGAUGGUUAUUUGUCAUGGAAAAAUAUAUUUUUCGAUAAUACUGUUUGUAAAACUUCGUAAUUAAAAAAAAAACUAUUGGAUGUACUUCAACGAAGUUAUUUAAAGUUAGAGAUAACCUAUUCAACGUAUAUACGCAGUUACUAAAUGAAAAUAUCGUGCUAUCAGGGCUGUCUAUAUGCGGCAUAAACAAUACGUUUAAAUAUGCACGUAAAUAUUUGACAAACUUACGUUAGGUUAUCUUAAUUAUUCACGUUGUGUUGCAUAAUAUGUACAUGUGCGAUGACACAUACUGAUAUCUGAAAUGCCUAAAUAUUUCAUAAAGAAUCGUGGUAACACCUUUGUCAAACGUAUAAAUUACAUACUUUUCUGUGCCUACUGCUGAUAUGAUUAAAUUUCGAAAACGUUCGAACGACGUUCUAGAAAAUUUUCAGUUCCAGUACAUUCUCGGUAGUACGUUUUCAUCGAAAUUUCAUUGAGUAUUUUCGUCUCUGACAAGAAUAAAAAAAAAUUGCGUUUAUUUUGGAAAAGUCAAAUGAAAAAUGAUUCAUCUUAUUCGCCUAUUUAACAAACAAUUAUACGACACAAUACAAAAGUUUUACAUCAGGUGUUCAAAAUACUAGUGACAUUACUGUGUACUACGCACGCGCAAUGUUUUUCGAGCGGCGUAUAUAAGAAGGUGCAGCCGGGUGCACUCGGACAGUAUCGAAACAAAAGCGCUAAAAGAGAGACGAAUUUGUCGACAGUGUAUAUAUACAGCUGCUUCAUGAAUAAUCUUAAGGACACGGAAGCAAUGUCUGAUUACUACGUUGACGAAUACGAGCAUUUUAACUACGAUUACGACAAACAUAUUUUCACCGGCCACAGUGGUAAACAACGAAGUAAACGGGAAGCUCUUACGCACACCAAUCAUUUCGAUCCUUGCGGCCAUUCUAGAAAGAUCUUGACAAAAUUGAUGAAUUCCGAGCACAAUAAACGACACAAUGGGAAAGCUAAAGCAUAAAUUGACCUUGGGUUUUCCUGUCCAUACUUCCGGGAAGAAUAUUUAUCAACUCUGACAACUACAAUUUCUUCUUGAAGAUACUGGAACAUAUUACAUAAAGUUUUUUAUCUUUUAUCUUCAGUAAUGCAUUUACACACUGAACAUAGAUUAUCACUUAGAAUAAGAUUAGAACUUGGGAUAAAUGUUUGUUGCAUCUUGUAAUCAUCAUUUAGUCGUAUCACAAUUCAUAGUAUAAAUAAAUACUACAUAUUUAGGUAGGA